UCGAACGAUGAAGCCCUUCGGGGUGGAUUAGUGGCGAACGGGUGAGUAACACGUGGGCAAUCUGCCCUUCACUCUGGGACAAGCCCUGGAAACGGGGUCUAAUACCGGAUAACACUUCCGUCCUCCUGGACGGUGGUUAAAAGCUCCGGCGGUGAAGGAUGAGCCCGCGGCCUAUCAGCUUGUUGGUGAGGUAAUGGCUCACCAAGGCGACGACGGGUAGCCGGCCUGAGAGGGCGACCGGCCACACUGGGACUGAGACACGGCCCAGACUCCUACGGGAGGCAGCAGUGGGGAAUAUUGCACAAUGGGCGAAAGCCUGAUGCAGCGACGCCGCGUGAGGGAUGACGGCCUUCGGGUUGUAAACCUCUUUCAGCAGGGAAGAAGCGAAAGUGACGGUACCUGCAGAAGAAGCGCCGGCUAACUACGUGCCAGCAGCCGCGGUAAUACGUAGGGCGCAAGCGUUGUCCGGAAUUAUUGGGCGUAAAGAGCUCGUAGGCGGCUUGUCACGUCGGUUGUGAAAGCCCGGGGCUUAACCCCGGGUCUGCAGUCGAUACGGGCAGGCUAGAGUGUGGUAGGGGAGAUCGGAAUUCCUGGUGUAGCGGUGAAAUGCGCAGAUAUCAGGAGGAACACCGGUGGCGAAGGCGGAUCUCUGGGCCAUUACUGACGCUGAGGAGCGAAAGCGUGGGGAGCGAACAGGAUUAGAUACCCUGGUAGUCCACGCCGUAAACGGUGGGAACUAGGUGUUGGCGACAUUCCACGUCGUCGGUGCCGCAGCUAACGCAUUAAGUUCCCCGCCUGGGGAGUACGGCCGCAAGGCUAAAACUCAAAGGAAUUGACGGGGGGCCGCACAAGCAGCGGAGCAUGUGGCUUAAU
rnacentral:rRNA from 1 species